rnacentral:lncRNA from 1 species
CAAAAAUGCUAAACUAGCCAAAUAUCAGCCCUUGACAAAGAAAUCAGGUCUUCAACUCGAACUAAAAAAUGAAAAACAGAAUACAUAACCAGCCAACACUUUUUCCUUCCUUUUUUUCGAGAAUCAGUGAGGGGGUGUCCCUUUUGUAGGAUGUAGGUGAAAUACAGAUUUGGCUAUUGCCGGAGUUGGACAUCACCAUUUUCACAGUCGAGAAGUGUGGGCUUCGAUUUCGGGGAAUGUCGAGGAGUGAGGGCUUCGAUUUCACCUUCACCGGAUUUUGGGAUUUCGUCUUCACCGGCGCUUAAUUUCACAAGUAGCUCCGGUGAGGUAGGCAGGGAAAAAAUAAUAUUUUGGCGGGACUUCUCUGGCUUCUU